CUACGGGGCGCUGCAGUGAGGAAUAUUGGGCAAUGGACGAAAGUCUGACCCAGCAACGCCGCGUGGAGGAUGAAGGUCGUAAGAUCGUAAACUCCUUUUUUCAGGGAAGAAAAAGCAGGUUUGUAGCCUGUAUUGACUGUACCUGUAGAAUAAGCCCCGGCUAACUACGUGCCAGCAGCCGCGGUAAUACGUAGGGGGCAAGCGUUGUCCGGAUUUACUGGGUAUAAAGGGCUCGCAGGCGAGCUUGUAAGUCAGAGGUGAAAGCCUACAGCUUAACUGUAGAACUGCCUUUGAAACUGCAAGUCUUGAGAUCGGAAGAGAGAGAUGGAAUUCCAGGUGUAGUGGUGAAAUACGUAGAUAUCUGGAAGAACACCAACGGCGAAGGCAGUCUCUUGGUCCGUAUCUGACGCUGAGGAGCGAAAGCGUGGGUAGCGAACAGGAUUAGAUACCCUGGUAGUC
rnacentral:rRNA from 1 species